CCUACGGGGGGCAGCAGUCGAGAAUCAUUCACAAUGGGGGAAACCCUGAUGGUGCGACGCCGCGUGGGGGAAUGAAGGUCUUCGGAUUGUAAACCCCUGUCAUGUGGGAGCAAAGUAAAAAGAUAGUACCACAAGAGGAAGAGACGGCUAACUCUGUGCCAGCAGCCGCGGUAAUACAGAGGUCUCAAGCGUUGUUCGGAAUCACUGGGCGUAAAGGGUGCGUAGGCUGUUUCGUAAGUCGUGUGUGAAAGGCGCGGGCUCAACCCGCGGACGGCACAUGAUACUGCGAGACUAGAGUAAUGGAGGGGGAACCGGAAUUCUCGGUGUAGCAGUGAAAUGCGUAGAUAUCGAGAGGAACACUCGUGGCGAAGGCGGGUUCCUGGACAUUAACUGACGCUGAGGCACGAAGGCCAGGGGAGCGAAAGGGAUUAGAUACCCUAGUAGUC
rnacentral:rRNA from 1 species